GAAAAUUUUUAGUUUUUUAGCUUAUUUUAGAGCUUAAAUAAUAGAAUUUGAGUUUGAUUGCUGAGUGAGUCGCUUCUAAAAGGCGAUGCUAUAUCGUAGAUCUCAAAAAAAUGAUAUAAUUUUGAAUGAAAAAAUAUCAAAAUUCGACAUCAUAUGAUCAAAUUAUGGUCUCCAAAAAUUUGGCCCAAGACUCGGCUCUGAUAUAGC
rnacentral:lncRNA from 1 species